UACGUAGGUGGCAAGCGUUAUCCGGAUUUACUGGUGUAAAGGGCGUGUAGGCGGUUUGCAAGUCAGAUGUGAAAUCUCCGGCUUAACCCGGAACUGCAUCUGAAACUGCAGAACUUGAGUACUGGAGAGGAUAGUGGAAUUCCUAGUGUAGCGGUAAAAUGCGUAGAUAUUAGGAGGAACACCAGUGGCGAAGGCGACUAUCUGGACAGUAACUGACGCUGAGGCGCGAAAGCGUGGGGAGCAAACAGGAUUAGAUACCCUGGUA
rnacentral:rRNA from 1 species